UGCAGCAACGCCGCGUGAGGGACGACGGCCUUCGGGUUGUAAACCUCUUUUAGCAGGGAAGAAGCGAAAGUGACGGUACCUGCAGAAAAAGCACCGGCUAACUACGUGCCAGCAGCCGCGGUAAUACGUAGGGUGCAAGCGUUAUCCGGAAUUAUUGGGCGUAAAGAGCUCGUAGGCGGUUUGUCGCGUCUGCUGUGAAAACCCGAGGCUCAACCUCGGGCCUGCAGUGGGUACGGGCAGACUAGAGUGCGGUAGGGGAGAUUGGAAUUCCUGGUGUAGCGGUGGAAUGCGCAGAUAUCAGGAGGAACACCGAUGGCGAAGGCAGAUCUCUGGGCCGUAACUGACGCUGAGGAGCGAAAGGGUGGGGAGCAAACAGGCUUAGAUACCCUGGUAGUCCACCCCGUAAACGUUGGGAACUAGUUGUGGGGUCCAUUCCACGGAUUCCGUGACGCAGCUAACGCAUUAAGUUCCCCGCCUGGGGAGUACGGCCGCAAGGCUAAAACUCAAAGGAAUUGACGGGGACCCGCACAAGCGGCGGAGCAUGCGGAUUAAUUCGAUGCAACGCGAAGAACCUUACCAAGGCUUGACAUAUACGAGAACGCUGCAGAAAUGUAGAACUCUUUGGACACU
rnacentral:rRNA from 1 species